rnacentral:rRNA from 1 species
UACGAAGGGUGUAAGCGUUGUUCGGAUUUAUUGGGCGUAAAGCGCGCGCAGGCUGAUUUUUAAGCCAGAUGUGAAAUCUCGGGGCUCAACCCCGAAACUGCGUCUGGAACUGGAAAUCUAGAGUGAUGGAGAGGGAAGGGGAAUUUCUCAUGUAGGGGUAAAAUCCGUAGAGAUGAGAAGGAACACCAGAGGCGAAGGCGCCUUCCUGGCCAUUUACUGACGCUGAGGCGCGAAAGCGUGGGUAGCAAACAGG